rnacentral:rRNA from 1 species
GAUGAACGCUAGCGGCAGGCUUAACACAUGCAAGUCGAACGGUAACAGGUCCUUCGGGAUGCUGACGAGUGGCGCACGGGUGCGUAACGCGUAUGCAAUCUACCUCUAUCUGGAGAAUAGCCCGGAGAAAUCCGGAUUAAUACUCCAUAAUAUUAUUGAAUUGCAUGAUUUAAUAAUUAAAACUCCGGUGGAUAGAGAUGAGCAUGCGUCCUAUUAGCUUGUUGGUGAGGUAACGGCUCACCAAGGCAACGAUAGGUAGGGGGCCUGAGAGGGUGAUCCCCCACACUGGUACUGAGACACGGACCAGACUCCUACGGGAGGCAGCAGUGAGGAAUAUUGGACAAUGGGCGAAAGCCUGAUCCAGCCAUGCCGCGUGCAGGAUGACAGCCCUACGGGUCGUAAACUGCUUUUAUACGGGAAUAAACCUCCGAACGUGUUCGGAGCUGAAGGUACCGUAAGAAUAAGGAUCGGCUAACUCCGUGCCAGCAGCCG